UACGGAGGGAGCUAGCGUUGUUCGGAAUUACUGGGCGUAAAGCGUGUGUAGGUGGCUGCGAAAGUCGGAUGUGAAAGCCCUGGGCUCAACUCAGGAAGUGCACCCGAUACUGCGUAGCUCGAGUACCGGAGAGGUUGGUAGAAUUCUCGGUGUAGAGGUGAAAUUCGUAGAUAUCGAGAGGAAUACCUGUGGCGAAGGCGGCCAACUGGACGAGUACUGACACUGAGACACGAAAGCGUGGGGGAGCAAACAGG
rnacentral:rRNA from 1 species